rnacentral:tRNA from 1 species
GACCCCUUAGCUCAGUGGUAGAGCGUGUGAUUCCAGCCCGAAGUUGAACAAUCACCGCCGGUCCACAAGGUCAAGCGUUCAACUCGCUUAGGGGUCA